AGGUACAUGAACUCUAACGAGGCAUUAUCAAUCCCAAGUUUUAAAAAUCUUUGUCCUACUAAAGUUUUGCCUAAGCAUUUGUUAGAUUCAAGACUUGC